rnacentral:rRNA from 1 species
CAGCCGCCGCGGGAAUACGAGGGGGGCAAGCGUUGUUCGGAUUUAUUGGGCGUAAAGGGUGCGUAGGCGGUUUGGCAAGUCUUGUGUGAAAUCUUCGGGCUCAACCCGAAGCCUGCACGAGAAACUACCGGGCUUGAGUAUUGGAGAGGUGAGUGGAAUUUCCGGUGUAGCGGUGAAAUGCGUAGAUAUCGGAAGGAACACCUGUGGCGAGAGCGGCUCACUGGACAAUAACUGACGCUGAUGCACGAAAGCUAGGGGAGCAAACAGGAUUAGAUACCCCCGUAGUCCCUGUCUCUUAUAC